GAAUCUGGAACACAAAUUUAUCUAUAAGGAACGGAAGAAAGCUAGAAAAGUUUCGCACAUGUGAAUUCACAAGGAACAGAAAAUAAAAUAACAAGAAGCUACACGAGUUGUUAUGCAAAACUGAAGAAAUGCCAGAAAGGAGUAGAAGAUUGCACCUGAUUCAGGAAAGAUACAAAUUCCUUGCCAUUGAGUGUAUUACCCUGGACAAUCUUUGGCCGGAUUAUAGAAGAAACGACUUCCUUCAACUGAUCCCUCUUCUUUACAUACAUAGGCUCAAGUUCAUCAUCCUUCAUAUCACAGAGCUUUGUGCGCUGGAGAUGGGGCUGUAAACAGGGUUCGUUUAGGAUUUUACAUCAGUAUUAAACAACCACUACCAGAAUGAAAUGCUUGGAGCCGUCCCUGCAGGAUCGCAGAUUGUUCCCAGCAGUUCAUUAUCUUUAGUUCCUAUGAUUUAGUUGUUCAGAAAUAUAGUUAAGUUUAGCAUUUAGCUGUUCCGAGUAGUGGCCUCUUAGGAGGACAGUUAUCUUUUAUUUUCUAUAUUCUUUUAGUUAUAUCGUUCUAUCUUUUAUG